UGAGGAAUAUUGGGCAAUGCCCGCAAGGGUGACCCAGCAACGCCGCGUGGAGGAUGAAUGUCGUAAGAUUGUAAACUCCUGUUAGAGGGGAAGAAUAGUACCGGUUGGACCGGUAUAUGACUGUACCCUCAGAGAAAGCCCCGGCUAACUACGUGCCAGCAGCCGCGGUAAUACGUAGGGGGCAAGCGUUGUCCGGAUUUACUGGGUGUAAAGGGCGCGCAGGCGGGAUAAAAAGUCAGUGGUGAAAUCCUACAGCUUAACUGUAGAACUGCCUUUGAUACUGCUCAUCUUGAGUGUGGGAGAGGUUGAUGGAAUUCCAGGUGUAGCAGUGAAAUGCGUAGAUAUCUGGAAGAACACCAGCGGCGAAGGCGGUCAACUGGCCCAUAACUGACGCUCAUGCACGAAAGCGUGGGGAGCAAACA
rnacentral:rRNA from 1 species